rnacentral:rRNA from 1 species
UAGGGAAUCUUCCACAAUGGGCGAAAGCCUGAUGGAGCAACGCCGCGUGUGUGAUGAAGGGUUUCGGCUCGUAAAACACUGUUGUAAGAGAAGAAUGACAUUGAGAGUAACUGUUCAAUGUGUGACGGUAUACUUACCAGAAAGGAACGGCUAAAUACGUGCCA